rnacentral:rRNA from 1 species
AUACGUAGGGGGCGAGCGUUGUCCGGAAUGAUUGGGCGUAAAGGGCGCGUAGGCGGCCCGGUAAGUCUGGAGUGAAAGUCCUGUUUUUAAGAUGGGAAUUGCUUUGGAUACUGUCGGGCUUGAGUGCAGGAGAGGUAAGUGGAAUUCCCAGUGUAGCGGUGAAAUGCGUAGAGAUUGGGAGGAACACCAGUGGCGAAGGCGACUUACUGGACUGUACCUGACGCUGAGGCGCGAAAGCGUGGGUAGCGAACGGGAUUAGAUACCCCGGUAGUCCACGCUGUAAACGAUGAAUACUAGGUGUAGGAGGUAUCGACCCCUUCUGUGCCGCAGUUAACACAAUAAGUAUUCCGCCUGGGGAGUACGAUCGCAAGAUUGAAACUCAAAUGAAUUGACGGGG